rnacentral:lncRNA from 1 species
GGCUGGGACUCCUGCACCAGUGGCCAUAGCCCUGCUUCACAUCAGCAGCCACAGAGUGAGACAAAGUCCUCUAAACCAAGAAGCAACGGAGAAGCAGAAGCAGCCAGAGCUACAGAUACUCCACAGGUAUAUAUCCUGUAAACACAUGUGAAAACUCUGGAUUCUACCUGCCUGGACUGGCUCAG